rnacentral:rRNA from 1 species
AUUGAACGCUGGCGGCAGGCCUAACACAUGCAAGUCGAACGGUAACAGGAAGAAGCUUGCUUCUUUGCUGACGAGUGGCGGACGGGUGAGUAAUGUCUGGGAAACUGCCUGAUGGAGGGGGAUAACUACUGGAAACGGUAGCUAAUACCGCAUAACGUCGCAAGACCAAAAAGGGGGACCUUCGGGCCUCUUGCCAUCGGAUGUGCCCAGAUGGGAUUAGCUAGUAGGUGGGGUAACGGCUCACCUAGGCGACGAUCCCUAGCUGGUCUGAGAGGAUGACCCGCCACACUGGAACUGAGACACGGUCCAGACUCCUACGGGAGGCAGCAGUGGGGAAUAUUGCACAAUGGGCGCAAGCCUGAUGCAGCCAUGCCGCGUGUAUGAAGAAGGCCUUCGGGUUGUAAAGUACUUUCAGCGGGGAGGAAGGGAGUAAAGUUAAUACCUUUGCUCAUUGACGUUACCCGCAGAAGAAGCACCGGCUAACUCCGUG